rnacentral:rRNA from 1 species
GACGAACGCUGGCGGCGUGCCUAAAACAUGCAAGUCGAACGAGAUAGCAAUAUCUAGUGGCGAACGGCGGAGUAAUACAUAAGCAACGUGCCCCGAAGACUGGGAUAGCGGACCGAAAGG